rnacentral:rRNA from 1 species
GAUGAACGCUGGCGGCGUGCCUAAUACAUGCAAGUCGAGCGAACAGACGAGGAGCUUGCUCCUCUGACGUUAGCGGCGGACGGGUGAGUAACACGUGGAUAACCUACCUAUAAGACUGGGAUAACUUCGGGAAACCGGAGCUAAUACCGGAUAAUAUAUUGAACCGCAUGGUUCAAUAGUGAAAGACGGUUUUGCUGUCACUUAUAGAUGGAUCCGCGCCGCAUUAGCUAGUUGGUAAGGUAACGGCUUACCAAGGCAACGAUGCGUAGCCGACCUGAGAGGGUGAUCGGCAACACUGGAACUGAGACACGGUCCAGACUCCUACGGGAGGCAGCAGUAGGGAAUCUUCCGCAAUGGGCGAAAGCCUGAAGGAGCAACGCCGCGUGAGUGAUGAAGGUCUUCGGAUCGUAAAACUCUGUUAUUAGGGAAGAACAAAUGUGUAAGUAACUAUGCACGUCUUGACGGUACCUAAUCAGAAAGCCACGGCUAACUACGUG